GUAACGGAACAUAUUAAAGGCUUUACUUUAAUGAAGUAUGUGAUACCCUCCAAAUUCAACCAGUUUAACGAGUAUUUAUGAUUAUAGAAGAGUUAUUGUGUAUGUUAACAAUGAUUGCACAACAUGUAUCCAUAAACAGUCAACCCAUUAAAUUAUACUGAAUAACUGACCCACACAAAAGUUAAUAUCACUUGAUCACUGAUACAGCAAAUGUCAUCAUGUAAAAACACUAAGUUUAUCUUAAAUAAUUAAUAUGAAGUACGAAAAAUAGUAGCCAACUUAGGUAUUUUGGAUCUCCUUAAAUAAAAAUCACCCAGUGAAACCUAUUUGUUCACUAGGAGCCGUUUUCACUCAGUAUUCACGUAAUCAAUCCUAUUUUAGACGAAAACCAAUGUAAUUCUUAAUAAUUCAUGUUACUUAUUUAUGCAAAUUAAAGAAGUCAAUUGACAAACUUCUAAAAAAUGGCCUUUUUGUAACAGAGAAUUAUUCUGUCAAGUCAACAAAUCUGUCUGUCAUUUUCAUAACAUGUUAAAUUAUGUCACUCGAUGCAAAUUAAUAACUUAUCUGCACAAAUUAUGAUAACAGAUGUACAUGUGACUUAUAAACUAUAUCUCUUUUUAGUAGUUCUUUGACAAUGUUAUAAAUACAAGCAGCAAGAAGGGUCGAGGAGGCAGUCGGAAUGUCACUUUGGUAAAGUGUGUUUGUGUGUUAUUGUCUGAGGUGGAUAAACAAUGCAAAGAUCAUGUAAAGGAAGUACUACUUUGUGUUGUGUCAUGGUCUUUGGUGGACAGUGGAAUUAAGAUGGCCACCAGAGUAAUAAAUAUAUGAAGGUUACAUA